UCCAGUGACUUUCAGUCCCAUUGUCCCACAGGUAUGGGCAGCUGAGCGGCAUGGUGGAGCCCCUGGCUGGCAUCCUAGGAGCCUUUGCUGUGGUGAUGGCAGAGCCUCUCCUCCCCUAUGCCUUGAGCUUUGCUGCUGGAGCCAUGGUCUACGUGGUGAUGGAUGAUAUCAUCCCAGAGGCACAGACCAGUGGCAAUGGGAAGCUGGCUUCCUGGACCUCAAUACUUGGAUUCGUGGUGAUGAUGUCCUUGGAUGUUGGCCUCGGGUAGGCAGCUCACUGCUCCCCAGGAGAAGACUUCACAGCAAUUCCCAUGGUGGCAUUUGGAACUGGACACGUGUUACGCUUUAGACUUUUUCGGUAUAUAUAUUUUUUUGAUCUGGUUGGUGUUAAUUUCCUAUAAUUUUAUAUAUCUCUUCCUCAUAACAUCAAGUCGAUGGUUUUCAAAGCACAAAUACGGAUGGUUCCUUGCAGGUCCUGGUUUCCUUUCGCCACCAGAUUUUUUUUCUCCAAGGUUACUGCGAGACGUGCUGGCCAGGCUGCAGAUUUUGCUGCAGUUCUGGGGUGGUUUCUCUGAUUCAGGUCUCUCUUGGUUUUGAUCAUCCUUGUAGAAGAUUAGAAAUUCACUGUCGCGUGCUUAAGCUGGUCUGAGGUUAAGGACCAAAGUAUUUGAAUGCAGUAAACUGCUUAAGAGUCUCAAUUUCCACUCCAGGCUUUGAAUGGUGGAGGUGGAGGUGUUAGGACUGGGAUGACACGCUGAGGGCAGCAGGUCUGGUGGAUCCUGCAGUGCUAGGAGUGUGUCACAGUGUUUGUUGGUUGUUUGAGAAGGCAAUGUGUGUUCAUCCACGUUGCUGCUACAUGAUCGUUGUAUGGCACAGUGCAUUUCCACCUGGGCUCAUGGCUGUGCCCAGCACUACCAAGCAGCUGCCAUUCUCCAGCUGCUGUGUUGGGUUGUUUGUCACUCUGAACAUGGUGCCAUGUUACCUUGAGCCAGGAUCAGCUCUUGUCCUGCUGAGCAGCAUUGGGAUGAAAUAACUCAUCAGUGUGCGUUAAUUAUCCACCCAUGCACCAGGUUUAUCUGCCUCUUCACCCUCUUCCUUUCAAGCAUCUCCUGUCCAACAACCACAGGGUGGUUGAACACAUGCUUAAGUGGGGAGCAGAAUGCAGUUGUGGGGAAGUCCACACUCUAGGGCUGCUCUGUUUUUCAGGAAGACUAAUAAGGCUAAUGAGGCCCUCCAGCAGGAGUAACUGGAUGGCCUGGCAGCAUCUCAGCUGUACCUGCACCCAACAGGGCUGCAGAAAGGCAGCAGGGGGAUGGGUUGAGUGAGCUAAGAGAGAGCCACGCACUUUUGUUUGGUUUGUUAUUUUGGUUGGAUUCCAUUUGUACUUCAUUUGUAUGUCACUAUGGAUGAUACAAAACUACUGUUUGCCAAUGGAUUUGACCUUUUAACUGUGAUUGGUUUCAAUAAAUGGGAAAUUCAGCGUUUGCACUGAUUUAUUUUAA